rnacentral:rRNA from 1 species
GACGAACGCUGGCGGCGUGCUUAACACAUGCAAGUCGAACGGAAAGGCCCUGCUUGCAGGGUGCUCGAGUGGCGAACGGGUGAGUAACACGUGGGUGAUCUGCCCCUUACUUUGGGAUAAGCCUGGGAAACUGGGUCUAAUACUGGAUAGGACCAUGCUGUAGGUGGUGUGGUGGAAAGAUUAGUUUCGGUAAGGGAUGAGCUCGCGGCCUAUCAGCUUGUUGGUGGGGUAAUGGCCUACCAAGGCGUCGACGGGUAGCCGGCCUGAGAGGGUGGACGGCAACAUUGGGACUGAGAUACGGCCCAGACGCCUACGGGAGGCAGCAGUGGGGAAUAUUGCACAAUGGGCGCAAGCCUGAUGCAGCGACGCCGCGUGGGGGAUGACGGCCUUCGGGUUGUAAACUCCUUUCAGCCAUGACGAAGCCCUUGUGGUGACGGUAGUGGUAGAAGAAGCACCGGCUAACUACGUG